CCGUGGCAGAACUGAACGACCUCGAAUGCCAGCAAUUGCGAUCCCAGCUGGCAAAGAGCCAACAGGACUGCUGGGAGCUCCAGGAGAAGUUUCUCAUAGCUGAGGCUACAAACUUUGCCCUGGCCAGGGAGCUGAAAAAAUACAAUUGUGAGAAGUUUAAAAACAUCAUUGAGUCCAUACUGACCAAGAAGCUCCACUUGGAGGAGCCGCUGGCAGAGAAGCCCACGGUCCCAGAGCUGCUCAGGCAUUGCCGUGGCAUCCUUGAAGAUCAGGACCAAGAACUUUCCCAGUUAC